rnacentral:rRNA from 1 species
ACGCUCGACACCUACGGAGGCAGCAGUGGGGAUAUUGCACAAUGGGGGGAACCCGUGAUGCAGCAACGCCGCGUGAGGGAAGAAGGUUUUCGGAUUGUAAACCUCUGUCUUUGGUGACGAUAAUGACGGUAGCCAAGGAGGAAGCUCCGGCUAACUACGUGCCAGCAGCCGUGGUAAUCUGAGCGGGCUGGCAAGGC